rnacentral:rRNA from 1 species
UACGAACCGUACAAACGUUAUUCGGAACCACUGGGCUUAAAGGGUGCGUAGGCGGCCAUGUAAGUGAGGUGUGAAAUCCCUCGGCUCAACCGAGGAACUGCGCUUCAUACUGCAUGGCUUGAGGGAGACAGGGGUAAGCGGAACUGAUGGUGGAGCGGUGAAAUGCGUUGAUAUCAUCAGGAACACCGGUGGCGAAAGCGGCUUACUGGGUCUCUUCUGACGCUGAGGUACGAAAGCUAGGGUAGCGAACGGG